rnacentral:lncRNA from 1 species
ACACUGACUGUGCCCUGAAGUCUGCAUGACAGUGAUGCUCCACAGAAGGGCGUCGGAUCCUACUGCAGAUGGCUGUGACCCACCAUGUGGUUGCUGGGAAUUGAACUCAUGACCUCUGGAAGAGCACGCUGAGCCAUCUCUCCAGCCCUCAUGGAGAACUUUAAAGCAGUCAGUCUUAAGGCUCUUCUUGUGUUCUGGGAUAACCGCCCGCACCAAGUUGGAUGGAAGACUCCUGACCAAAGACUAAAGCCACCACAGUUGUCUGUGGAGGAACCCCCGCCUUUCUCCCACCUGUAAAAGGAGUCACUGUGGGUUCACAGAAUUAAAUUGUCGAUAGAGGGCGCCAGAGGACGGGGAAGAAACUACGGACAACGGCGUGGCAUAUUUCUUUGGUUUAAAUUACAAUUUAAAAAAAAGAAAAAGAAAAAGAAAUAAAAGAGAAAAAAAUUGAAAA